rnacentral:rRNA from 1 species
GAUGAACGCUGGCGGCGUGCCUAAUACAUGCCAGUCGAGCGAACAGAUGAGGAGCUUGCUCCUCUGACGUUAGCGGCGGACGUGUGAGUAACACGUGGAUAACCUACCUAUAAGACUGGGAUAACUUCGGGAAACCGGAGCUAAUACCGGAUAAUAUAUUGAACCGCAUGGUUCAAUAGUGAAAGACGGUUUUGCUGUCACUUAUAGAUGGAUCCGCGCCGCAUUAGCUAGUUGGUAAGGUAACGGCUUACCAAGGCAACGAUGCGUAGCCGACCUGAGAGGGUGAUCGGCCACACUGGAACUGAGACACGGUCCAGACUCCUACGGGAGGCAGCAGUAGGGAAUCGUCCGCAAUGGGCGAAAGCAUGACGGAGCAACGCCGCGUGAGUGAUGAAGGUCUUCGGAUCGUAAAACUCUGUUAUUAGGGAAGAACAAAUGUGUAAGUAACUAUGCACGUCUUGACGGUACCUAAUCAGAAAGCAACGGCUAACUACGUG